GAUGAACGCUGGCGGCGUGCCUAAUACAUGCCAGUCGAGCGAACGGACGAGAAGCUUGCUUCUCUGAUGUUAGCGGCGGACGGGUGAGUAACACGUGGAUAACCUACCUAUAAGACUGGGAUAACUUCGGGAAACCGGAGCUAAUACCGGAUAAUAUUUUGAACCGCAUGGUUCAAAAGUGAAAGACGGUCUUGCUGUCACUUAUAGAUGGAUCCGCGCUGCAUUAGCUAGUUGGUAAGGUAACGGCUUACCAAGGCAACGAUGCAUAGCCGACCUGAGAGGGUGAUCGGCCACACUGGAACUGAGACACGGUCCAGAGUCCUACGGGAGGCAGCAGUAGGGAAUCUUCCGCAAUGGGCGAAAGCCUGACGGAGCAACGCAGCGUGAGUGAUGAAGGGCUUCGGAUCGUAAAACUCUGUUAUGAGGGAAGAACAUAUGUGUAAGUAACGGUGCACAUCUUGAGGGUACCUAAUCAGAAAGCCACGGCUAACUACGU
rnacentral:rRNA from 1 species